rnacentral:rRNA from 1 species
CAGUCGCCACGGGAAUACAGAGGGUGCAAGCGUUAAUCGGAAUUACUGGGCGUAAAGCGCGCGUAGGUGGUUCGCCAAGUUGGAUGUGAAAUCCCCGGGCUCAACCUGGGAACUGCAUCCAAAACUGGCGAGCUAGAGUAUGGUAGAGGGUGGUGGAAUUUCCUGUGUAGCGGUGAAAUGCGUAGAUAUAGGAAGGAACAUCAGUGGCGAAGGCGACCACCUGGACUGAUACUGACACUGAGGUGCGAAAGCGUGGGGAGCAAACAGGAUUAGAUACCCCUGUAGUCCCUGUCUCUUAUAC